GGCGAACGCUGGCGGCGUGCCUAAUACAUGCAAGUAGAACGCACAGUUUAUACCGUAGCUUGCUACACCAUAGACUGUGAGUUGCGAACGGGUAAGUAACGCGUAGGUAACCUGCCUGGUAGCGGGGGAUAACUAUUGGAAACGAUAGCUAAUACCGCAUAAUAUUGAUUAUUGCAUGAUAAUUGAUUGAAAGAUGCUAUUGCAUCACUACCAGAUGGACCUGCGUUGUAUUAGCUAGUAGGUGAGGUAACGGCUCACCUAGGCGACGAUACAUAGCCGACCUGAGAGGGUGAUCGGCCACACUGGGACUGAGACACGGCCCAGACUCCUACGGGAGGCAGCAGUAGGGAAUCUUCGGCAAUGGACGAAAGUCUGACCGAGCAACGCCGCGUGAGUGAAGAAGGUUUUCGGAUCGUAAAGCUCUGUUGUAAGAGAAGAACGGGUGUGAGAGUGGAAAGUUCACACUGUGACGGUAUCUUACCAGAAAGGGACGGCUAACUACGUG
rnacentral:rRNA from 1 species